GCGGUUUGGGAUCAUUAUGCCAGCAUCCUUGAUAAAAUCGCAGUCCUCGGUCUAGGCAGGCAGCAUCAACGCAGGCUAUAACACUUCACCGAAGCAAAGUCACAUUCCUACGCCAUUAUCCUACCGCCCAAACCGAUGCUGGCCCGAUAAGCUGCGGGUCACCCCGCCACGAAGGCAAGGCUCACAAAAUAUCGAGUCUGAUCUCAAACCCUUCCCUUUCAACAAUUUCACGUACUUUUUCACUCUCUUUUCAAAGUUCUUUUCAUCUUUCCAUCACUGUACUUGUUCGCUAUCGGUCUCUCGCCAAUAUUUAGCUUUAGAUGGAAUUUACCACCCACUUAUAGCUGCAUUCCCAAACAACUCGACUCUUCGAAAGCACCUUACAUAGGAUUGGGCAUCUCAUCGCACGGGAUUCUCACCCUCUGUGACGUCCUGUUCCAAGAAACAUAGACAAGAGCCAACCCCAAGGUUACAAUCUUCAAAUUACAACUCGGACACCGAAGGUGCCAGAUUUCAAAUUUGAGCUUUUGCCGCUUCACUCGCCGCUACUAAGGCAAUCCCUGUUGGUUU
rnacentral:rRNA from 1 species